AUCCAGACUCCUACGGGAGGCAGCAGUUAGGAAUAUUGGUCAAUGGGCUUACUCCUUAACCAGCCAAUUCUCGUGAGGGAAUACUUCCCUAUGGUUUUUAAACCUCUUUUUUCCGGGAGCAAUUUUCUCUACGUGUCUCUUUAUCGAGAUUCCCUUAAGAAAACUCAUCUGCUAACUCCUUUCCAGCAGCCUCUUUAAUACGGAGUAUUCUCGCGUUAUCCGGAUUUAUUGGGUGUAAAGGGUGCGCAGGCGGAGGUGCAAGUCAGCGGGAAAAUUGCGGGGAUAAACCCCGUCAUGCCGUUGAAACUGCAUCCCUUGAGUGCGCGAGAAGUAUGCGGAAUGAGUGGUGUAGCGGUGAAAUGAAUAGAUAGAAAGAAGAACUCCGAUUGCGAAGGCAGCAUAAAGGCGCGCAACUGACGCUCAUGCACGAAAGCGUGGGUAUAGAAAAGGAUUAGAUACCCCAGUAGAG
rnacentral:rRNA from 1 species